CCCACCAGACAAAGGCAACGUUGGAACUGCAGCAUAUCUGAAUGUGUUCAGCUCCAUUUACUCUGUCCUCUCAGACCUCAAGAAGGACGGCUACAACGUUGAGGGCCUUCCAGACACACCUGAAGCCCUCAUCGAGGAGGUGAUCCAUGACAAGGAGGCCCAGUUCAACAGUCCGAACCUCAAUGUCGCUUACCGCAUGAAUGUGCGGGAGUACCAGUCUCUCACUUCCUAUGCCUCCUUGCUGGAGGAGAACUGGGGCAAGCCACCUGGGAACCUCAAUUCUGAUGGUGAAAACCUCCUUGUCUAUGGGAAGCAGUAUGGCAAUGUCUUCAUAGGUGUGCAGCCCACUUUUGGGUAUGAAGGUGACCCGAUGCGGCUUCUGUUCUCAAAGUCUGCCAGCCCUCACCAUGGCUUUGCAGCAUACUACACCUUUGUUGAGAAGAUCUUCCAGGCUGAUGCUGUUCUCCACUUCGGCACACAUGGAUCCCUCGAGUUCAUGCCGGGCAAACAGGUUGGGAUGAGUGAUACCUGCUACCCUGACAGUCUCAUUGGCAACAUCCCCAACAUCUACUACUAUGCAGCAAACAACCCAUCAGAGGCAACCGUCGCCAAGCGCCGGAGCUAUGCAAACACCAUCAGCUACCUGACACCACCAGCUGAGAAUGCCGGUCUCUACAAGGGGCUCAAGCAGCUGUCAGAGCUCAUCUCUUCUUACCAGUCUCUCAAGGACACAGGGCGUGGUCCUCAGAUUGUGAGCUCAAUCAUCAGCACUGCUAAACAGUGUAACCUUGACAAGGAUGUCCCGUUGCCUGAGGAAGGCGAGGAGCUCCCACCGAAGGAGCGGGACCUUAUUGUUGGGAAGGUGUAUGCGAAGAUCAUGGAGAUAGAAUCACGGCUCCUGCCGUGUGGUCUGCAUGUGAUCGGUGAGCCACCAAGUGCUAUUGAGGCUGUGGCCACAUUGGUGAACAUUGCCGCCCUUGACCGCCCAGAAGAGGGCAUAAGCUCACUGCCCAGCAUACUUGCUGCAACAGUGGGCAGGGACAUUGAAGAUGUGUACAGGGGAAGUGACAAGGGCAUACUGGCUGAUGUUGAGCUUCUGAGGCAGAUAACUGAAGCUUCUCGUGGUGCCAUCACUAGCUUUGUUGAGAAGACCACAAACAGCAAAGGGCAAGUCGUAAAUGUCACUAACAAUCUCAGUAACAUUCUUGGCUUUGGUCUCUCAGAACCAUGGGUGCAGUACUUGUCCACGACCAAGUUCAUCAGGGCAGACAGAGAGAAGCUGAGGGUCUUAUUUGGAUUCUUGGGGGAGUGCUUAAAACUCAUUGUGCAAGACAAUGAGCUGGGCAGCUUGAAGCUUGCCCUUGAGGGAAGCUAUGUUGAGCCUGGCCCUGGCGGUGAUCCGAUCCGUAACCCGAAGGUUCUCCCAACAGGGAAGAACAUCCAUGCCCUUGACCCACAGUCCAUCCCAACUGCAGCUGCCCUGAAGAGUGCCAAGAUCGUUGUUGACCGUCUGCUGGAGAGGCAAAAGGCUGACAAUGGUGGCAAGUAUCCUGAGACAGUUGCACUUGUCUUGUGGGGCACCGAUAACAUCAAGACCUAUGGUGAGUCAUUGGCCCAGGUGCUGUGGAUGAUUGGUGUCCGGCCAGUGGCUGACACCUUCGGCCGUGUCAACCGUGUGGAGCCUGUCAGCCUUGAGGAGCUUGGACGUCCAAGGAUUGACGUCGUCGUCAAUUGCUCGGGUGUCUUCAGGGAUCUCUUCAUCAACCAGGUAUGAAUUGAAUACCUCACCACAUUUAAAUUUUGGCUUGUGUGUACUGAAUUUGCAUACACAUCGAGAAUAGAUGCAUUGCUGCACUGGUCUGAACGAUUUAGUUAUGGAACAACGUAUUUUGAUGCGUGCAGAUGAACCUGUUGGACCGCGCAGUGAAGAUGGUCGCUGAACUAGAUGAGCCAGUAGAGAUGAACUAUGUGCGCAAGCAUGCCCAGGAGCAGGCAGAGGAGCUGGGUGUCCCACUAAGAGAGGCAGCAACAAGGGUGUUCUCAAAUGCAUCAGGGUCCUACUCGUCAAAUGUGAAUUUGGCAGUGGAGAAUGCAUCAUGGACCGAUGAGAAGCAGCUCCAGGACAUGUACCUGAGCCGCAAGUCCUUUGCAUUCGACAGUGACGCUCCAGGGGCAGGCAUGAAGGAGAAGCGCAAGGCAUUUGAGCUUGCUCUGGCAACUGCAGAUGCCACAUUCCAGAACCUCGACUCGUCGGAGAUCUCACUGACAGAUGUGAGCCACUACUUCGACUCGGACCCAACAAAGCUGGUGCAAGGGCUGCGGAAGGAUGGACGGGCACCUGCCUCUUACAUAGCAGAUACAACCACAGCAAAUGCACAGGUGAGAACACUGUCGGAGACGGUGCGUCUUGAUGCAAGGACAAAGCUACUGAACCCAAAGUGGUAUGAGGGGAUGAUGAAGAGCGGCUAUGAGGGAGUUAGAGAGAUCGAGAAGCGGCUCACAAACACUGUUGGGUGGAGUGCAACAUCCGGACAAGUUGACAACUGGGUUUAUGAGGAGGCAAAUUCCACAUUCAUUGAAGAUGAGGCGAUGAGGAAGAGGCUCAUGGAGACCAACCCCAACUCAUUCAGGAAGCUGGUCCAGACCUUCCUAGAAGCCAGCGGCAGAGGCUAUUGGGAGACGUCAGAGGAGAAUUUGGAAAAGCUCAGGGAGCUCUACUCAGAGGUUGAAGACAAGAUUGAGGGCAUUGACCGGUAAAUUGGUUUGCCCGAUGGAUCAGUUCCAGCAUUCCACCAAAUAGAAGCUCGGAGCUCUUCUGUCUCACUGAGUUG
rnacentral:lncRNA from 1 species